rnacentral:lncRNA from 1 species
CAACGAUUAGCUGUGAGGAGGCACAACUGGACCCGCCUUCUCCGAACUCAAUUAAAGAGUUCAUUGAUGGCGUUAAUCUUUACGGGGCAGAAAAUAGAUCCGGCUAAGGUGGGCGGGGCAGCAGGCGCGGAGGGAUCCUUGGCCUUUGAGGAAGGCGACGAGAAGCUCGGCGGCCAUCGCCGCCAUUUUGGGCUGGGAGGAGGCAGCGGAGGGACUCGCUGCGCAUUGAAGGAUCACUUUUGUAGAUCCUAAAUGCUACCAAAAAAGAAACCAGUUUUUAUCUACUUCAUAUGUAUAGCGUUUAAGAGAUGAGGAGACCUGCUUUGAAAGAAUAAACUCUUAACCUUACAUUAUAGCUGUAGCAGCUUCUUAAAGAUUGAAGUUUGAUGUGAAGUUCUUUUAUUGAAUUGCAGGUUAAACCAUCUUACUUCCUACUGCUUGAAAUCUAAAUCCAGAGAGAUUUGUGGCUCAAGGAUAUCUUCAAAUAAAAGUUUUAUUGCUAAAAUGUCAGUUAAAAUUAUGCCUAUGACUAGGGUCCUCAAUCCAAAACUGGAACCACUUACUCCUAACUGAAGCUUCAGUACACUUGAUGCCUACUGUGGUUUGAUUUUUUACCUACAUAUGACAUGUUCGCUCUACACUGAUCAAGAGAGCAUCAAGAAAGAAAACCAAGGCACUAGAAAGCAAGCACACUUAAGUAUUGAAGAUAAUUACAUCUUAAAUUUUGCCUGAACUGUAUAUUGUAGCAUACUUAAACCCAUUCAAGGAAAAAAUUGGCAAAUUGAAAAUUCUCCCAUUAAAGAUUGAUAUUUUUGCAAACUGACAAAUUUAACGAUUUCGGUACCCCUCCCCAAAAAUGCAGUCACAUAAAAUAUAUCAAUACUAUUUUGAAUUAGCUCUAGAAAUCACACUGAAACUAUGUUACAUUUACAAAUAUUAAAUUUAUUAUAACUAGUUUCAGUCUAGUCUCCAAACUUGGAAAGCGGCGCUCGCUCCUGCUGCCGGUGCAGUUCGUUCUCGGUCAGCAGCUGGAGGUUCUCGGCGCGCAGCCGGUCCAGCUCCAGCUCCAGCUCCCGCACACGCGCGUCGUCGCCACCCAGCCGCUUGCUCUCCAGCCGCAGCCGGUUGUUCUCGUCCUCCAUGCGCGAGAGGCACUUCUCCAGUUCCAGGUACUCCUUGAUGAGCUCCUGCUUGCUCAUGUUCUGCAGGCUCUCCGUGUGGUACCGCUCGUACGUCUCCGAGAAGUCCCGCUGCAGAAACUCGCUGCCGUCCCCUCCCAUCCCAUCGCUGCCCCCAUCCUCCUCACCCCCUUCUUCCAUGAAGUCGUCAUCGCUGGUGUCGUCGGAUUUGGCGGCGGCCCGCUUGGAGUACAGGCCGGUUUUGAGAUCCGGCUCCUCCUGGUCGUGAUCAUCCAUGAGGAACUGCGUGGUGUUAUAGGGCGCGACCGGCUGGCCCUUGGCGAACAUCUCGGCUCGGAUCCUUGAAGCUCGAAGGCUCUGUUUCUCGUCGAACUUUUUCUUCUCUUCCCAGGUCAGCUUGUAGUACGGUUUCCAAUGCCGCUUCUUCUUGGACGGGCGUCUCCUAUGUUUUUUCUUCCCCAGCUGUCUCUGCUGCUGUCCCCACUCCUCUUCGCCCCCUGCGGCAGGAGCCCCCAACUUACUGGCCUCGGAGUCAUGACAAGGCUGGGCGAGCAGCUCGGCCUCGGGCGUCGGUUCCACUUCUGCCGGCGGCGGGAAGUCGCCGCCAGCGGACGAGUCGUCCCCAUUCUGGCCCUUCUCGCCCUCUCUCAGGCAGCUAGAUUCUGGACAGGCCUGGGUCUGCAAGGGAGGUGGUUGGGAUUCCAGGCUCCCUUCCCCCUCCGGCCCCGGACGGCCACCCAACUGGGGGAACGCUCUCGAUUGCCACCUACUGUCCUCCUCGGGCACCCGCUCCUCCGCGCCUGGGGGGCGCUCAGGGUUCAGCUCUUCCUGGACAGCAGCAGCACCUGUACAGUUGCUAGUUUGAGGCUGGUGUUGAUAUUCUGACAAGAAUGGCUCGGCCAUGGCUAGUAGAGUCCUCGAAGUUUAAGAAAUUUUGGCUAGUAAGUCCUUAAGGAAAAAAAUGGGUUUUUCUUAAAAAAAA